GUCUGUCUGUGGCAGUGGGGACACACUCAAAGCCUUACACAUUCCAAGCAAGUCUCUCCCAUUGUGCUAUAUAUAAUAUCUCCAGUAAAACAUUCUCCGGAAGCCACAUUGUGCUAUAUACAAUAUCUCCAGUAAAACAUUCUCUCUAUAUAAUAUCUAUAGUAAAACAUUCUCUCUAUAUAAUAUCUCCAGUAAAACAUUCCCUGGAGGCCACGGCUGUACAUGAGAGCCACCCUCCAACCCAGUGCCUGCAGAACAGCAGAGCUAGAAAUGCCACAGCGCCACAGCACCAUGAACUGUGGUCCCACCCUCCCUGGCAGUGCACUCUCACCUACUCAGUUUCUACCUACAGCCCUACUCAAGAACAUUGUUCAAG
rnacentral:lncRNA from 1 species